CUGAGCCUCUCUCAUACUCCUGGUCCUGUGAGACUGAGCCUUCCUCCAGAAGCACUGGAGGUCAGGAUGACCUGAGACCUUCAAGGAAGCACAUCAUCCCUGCAUCCUUCCCCCACAUAACUGGUUGAGAAAGCAAGCACAGGCCAGAUCACAGGACCAUGCUCUGGCCUCCCAGAUGGGCUCUCCCUGCAGAUGUGGCCUCCAGAGCCAGCCUUGCACUGCCCCACACCUCUCCAGCUUCUCAAAUCUGUGUCUUUAGACACACAGUGCACAACAAAGGAAAUGAAGGCAGAGAAUAAGGCUUUAACAGAGCUAAGAAAUGCAGUGUUGAGGACACUGGAGAGCGGAAUCUUCCAGAAAGCAGCCAAGUGCUGAGAAGAGAAAUAAGCAGGCCUAAGUAUGGAUCUUUUAAUGAACUUGAAGUACUUAACCCAGCCAUCAAAACUAGGAGUCUCAUUACUGGAUAACCUGGAGAAGAGCUUCCAGAGGCUGCUUCAUUCUGCUGUAGAUUUGAGGUACUGCUUCAAAUUGCUCUGUAUAUCCACUGACAGCACUGAGCUCAUCUGAGUCAGCUCCAUGGGAUGGGCUUCUGUUGGUGUCAGGAAACUGAACAACACCAGGAAAGAAGAGCAGUAAAGGAUCAGGCAG